rnacentral:rRNA from 1 species
GACGAACGCUGGCGGCGUGCUUAACACAUGCAAGUCGAACGGAAAGGCCCUGCUUUUGUGGGGUGCUCGAUUGGCGAACGGGUGAGUAACACGUGAGUAACCUGCCCUUGACUUUGGGAUAACUUCAGGAAACUGGGGCUAAUACCGGAUAGGAGCUCCUGCUGCAUGGUGGGGGUUGGAAAGUUUCGGCGGUUGGGGAUGGACUCGCGGCUUAUCAGCUUGUUGGUGUGGUAGUGGCUUACCAAGGCUUUGACGGGUAGCCGGCCUGAGAGGGUGACCGGCCACAUUGGGACUGAGAUACGGCCCAGACUCCUACGGGAGGCAGCAGUGGGGAAUAUUGCACAAUGGGCGGAAGCCUGAUGCAGCAACGCCGCGUGCGGGAUGACGGCCUUCGGGUUGUAAACCGCUUUCGCCUGUGACGAAGCGUGAGUGACGGUAAUGGGUAAAGAAGCACCGGCUAACUACGUG